UUUAACAGCAACAGCAGACCUGAAGCAGCCAUACCUUGUCUGUUCCUGUAUGGCUCUGCUGUUUGCCUGCUAGAAACGAGCAUCUGAGAACAUCCCGCUGGAUGCUGCCAGAGAUGGUAAUUCACUUAGGAGGAAGGAAGACCAUCCAUUCUGGAUUAUGCAAGAAGUGGUAGUUGUCCUUGAGGUGGAGCAGACUAUUCAGUCAAAAUCAGCAAAAAGAGAGAGGAGAACAUGCUGCUUUUGAGGAUGAAGCUAUGCUUCUUCCUGUCCCUUAUGCGACUUAAGUGGCUGGAGAAGCAGAGACUUGAGGGAGCCACAUUGUCUACUCUCACAUGAGAGGAUGAGCUCUGCCCUUCAGUUGCCUUUCCAGAAUGUGGUUACUGUUCUGCAACAGUAACUAUUAGACAAGGGGAUAGGAAGCCCUCUCCUGAAAGCGUCCAACUGAACACAUCAAAGCCAAUAUUGCAUUACAGAAUUCUAAUGAGAUGAAGCAUAAAACCAAUCUAAUGUUAAAAAGUUCAACAUGCCUGUCUCUCAUAGGAAAACUUAAGAAUAAGUGAACUGAGUGGGGAGAAGAACUGGCCACAUAAAAUCCUGAACAAGCAAUUUUAUUGAAGAAACUAGACAAGACAGAAACUACUUUCUUGUGAUCCAGUUGAGAUCCAGUUGGACACAUCAACAGAUCUCUCAGUUGACUUGGAGACCAUGAAUUGCACGCUUGGCUUGUUACAAAUGACCUUUUUGCAACUACAAGGAGAACAAAGCCUUUAACUGAAGAGAGGACGGAGGCUAUCACAUCUGCAUUGUCUAUGAAGCAAUACUUCAACUUCUGUCAUCAGUCUGGUGAAGCAGAGGAUUUCCUAAAUGCUGCCCAGCAAUGAGUUGAAGCAAUGCUUCUCCUAUAAUUCAGAGAUAAUACGUGGCUGGAUUCCAGUGACGUGGCUGGUGUUCGUUCUUGGCUUGGCACCCAGCUUCCUCUGAUGAAACUGCUCCAACAUCCAGUAGAGACUUAAUGGCAGCAAUGUGCAGGGUGUGCACAGAACCGCACAGUGCUUUCAGGUGUCUGCUCAGCCCCCUGCCUGCCUUGCUUAUCUGAUGCUGUGGAGCAGGAAGGGGAGUGGAAAGUACACGAUCAGGGAAGGACUUCUGUGCUGUGGAGAUGGGAAGGACUUCUCUGCUGUGGAGAUGAGAAGCACAUAUUACCCCAGGAUCUUCUGAGUGUUACCAUGCUGUUAUGAUUACUGCAUCACUGACUUUGCUGAUGGAAUUGAGAAUAUACUUAAAAUGCAGAGAGCCAUAAUGAAUUGUGAAUGGGAAGCUCUUUCACAAGUAAGUUGGAGGAUAAAAUCAGAAUUCAAAGUGAUCUUCAAGUGGAGGAUUGAGCUCAAGCAUCUAACAUAGGACCAAUACACGUAUAAAAGCAUGAUAGCCUACCAAAUUUGAAUCCAUGGUUUCUAUCAAGGAUCAGGUAUCAUCUAUUAUCAGCAGCUGAUGUCAGUAUCAGAAAGCUCCUGUUGGAAGGUUGCCUCUGCAUGUGGUUUGAGGUCCGUAUCCCAUGGUGCUGGGGUAGAACCAUAACAGCUCCCCGCAGAACCUGUGCAGUCUGCAGUGAAUUGAUUGAUCUGUGCUCACCUUUUCCCAGCUGGUUGAAGAGGUCAUUCAGCUUUAAGAGUCCACAGAAUCUGCAUGGAUAUGACUUUGUUGCUCCUAAGUAACAGUGAAGAAGAUCUGCUGCCAGCAUUUCAUUUCCUCUCUGCCUUUCACCACUGCGGCUAAAUAUCAGUCAGAUUUCCAAGGAGAAAGGUGUUUCGAAGUCCCCCUGGCUGGAGUCCUCUGGAAGAGCCCAGAGUCAUGGAACUGCCUCGCCCGCAGAGGACAAGCUAACCCAUCCCUGGGAUUUGCCUUGAAAACUUGUGCUGCCCAGUGCAGUCGCUGCUGGAUUUCCUUUCUCAGGUAUGUCUGUCGUGCGGCCUGCCAGGUGAAGCACUCACGGGGAUGCUGGCAAAGUGGUGAUAAAACUCACUGCACUGCUGCAUGGCUUCAGGCCAUGUAUGUGGAAAGAAAUGAUGCUUGCUUACUGCAUUAAGCUCACUGAGCUUUUGGGUGGAAAAGCAAAGCGUAAGUGAUUAUUAGACUGUUUGAUUAAAUGGUGUUUAAUAGACAUUGCAAUAAAAGCUUUUAUGAUUAGCUGGGCCUGGCCGCACCUGCCUGGGGAGCUGGGCUCUGCCUGCUGGCAGGGUUCAGGCUCCCGAUAAAACCUGUGGGGAGAGGCACAGAGAUGCUCCUCAGGCAACUUGUUGUGGUCCUACCAUAGGGCCCCUGCAGGGUUCAAAUCAUGAUAUGAUCAGUAAAAGUGACUUGAAAAUGCUCUGAAAAAAAUGUCAGAUAGGAAGUACCAAUUUGAUGCAGUUUCGGUAUCCCUCAGGAUUGCAUGGGACGUCCUGAAGUGCCCAGCUGGAAGGGCUUUAAGGGGCAGAACCACAGCAGCCUCCAGCAGCCUGGCCAGGCUGGGAGCUAGCUGGGAAGCUGGGGACUGACAUUCUUCUAAAAAGUGGCCCGAGGCAUUCAAAAAAGGAGUGUUCCUAAAUAUUUUUUCCAUAGAGAUGUUCGUGUAUCUUUACAUUCAGGUACGGAUACCUUAAAAAACCUGAAGGAAAUUUCCUGUGGGUCAUAAAAGCCACUUCUUAUGCCAUCCCAGUGAUUAAAUGAAGUUAUGGCUGGAUAAAAUGGGGGCCUCAUGGAAUUGCAGAGGGGAGAAGAAGGCCAAAGACACCUCAGAUUUAUUAAAAUACAGUCUCCCCUCAUUGCUUACAGCAGAAAUCAAACUGUGCCUGUGGUUAUAACUCACUGUAACGACCUUACUGACUUGACUCCCGAGCACUUCUGGUUUUUAAUUGGGGCAUUUGCCUGAGGAACAGCUGAGCCGCACAAACGGGUUCUUUUAUGGCCCGGUACUCCGAAUGGACAGAGCCGUGCGCCUGUUUUUUCCGCCAGGCAUUUUAACGAGGAACAAGCGCGGGGAGCUGCGAAGCCCGUCCGGCUGCAAAGCCCCGUCCUGCACCAUGAGGCCGGCAGGCACGAAACCUCCGCGGCGGCAGCAGGGAGGGAACGAGGCCGCGGAGAGGCCGCGCGGAGGCCGUGGCGACGGAGGCGGGGCCGGGCCGGGGCCCUCCCGCCGGGGGCGGGCCGCGGG